UACGUAGGGUGCAGGCGUUAAUCGGAAUUACUGGGCGUAAAGCGUGCGCAGGCGGUUUGCUAAGAGAGAUGUGAAAGCCCCGGGCUUAACCUGGGAACUGCGUUUCUAACUGGCAAGCUUGAGUGUGGCAGAGGGGGGUGGAAUUCCACGUGUAGCAGUGAAAUGCGUAGAGAUGUGGAGGAACACCGAUGGCGAAGGCAGCCCCCUGGGCUAACACUGACGCUCAUGCACGAAAGCGUGGGGAGCAAACAGG
rnacentral:rRNA from 1 species